UGAUAAAAUUUUCAUCCAUUUUUCUGUUAAAAACUAGUGUGGCUGAUAGAAUAACUAGAGAGUUACAUGUGACGUGUACCUCAUUCUGACAUAUAGAGAUCAGCUUUUAAUAGUAAAAAUAGAUGAAAUUUUUGGUC
rnacentral:pre_miRNA from 1 species